rnacentral:rRNA from 1 species
GACGAACGCUGGCGGCGUGCUUAACACAUGCAAGUCGAACGGAAAGGCCCUGCUUUUGUGGGGUGCUCGAGUGGCGAACGGGUGAGUAACACGUGAGUAACCUGCCCUUGACUUUGGGAUAACUUCAGGAAACUGGGGCUAAUACCGGAUAGGAGCUCCUGCUGCAUGGUGGGGGUUGGAAAGUUUCGGCGGUUGGGGAUGGACUCGCGGCUUAUUAGCUUGUUGGUGUGGUAGUGGCUUACCAAGGCUUUGACGGGUAGCCGGCCUGAGAGGGUGACCGGCCACAUUGGGACUGAGAUACGGCCCAGACUCCUACGGGAGGCAGAAGUGGGGAAUAUUGCACAAUGGGCGGAAGCCUGAUGCAGCGACGCCGCGUGCGGGAUGACGGCCUUCGGGUUGUAAACCGCUUUCGCCUGUGACGAAGCGUGAGUGACGGUAAUGGGUAAAGAAGCACCGGCUAACUACGUG